AAGUCGUAACAAGGUUUCCGUAGGUGAACCUGCGGAAGGAUCAUUACCGAGUGAGGGCCCUUUGGGUCCAACCUCCCACCCGUGUUUAUUUUACCUUGUUGCUUCGGCGGGCCCGCCUUUACUGGCCGCCGGGGGGCUCACGCCCCCGGGCCCGCGCCCGCCGAAGACACCCUCGAACUCUGUCUGAAGAUUGAAGUCUGAGUGAAAAUAUAAAUUAUUUAAAACUUUCAACAACGGAUCUCUUGGUUCCG
rnacentral:misc_RNA from 2 species